rnacentral:rRNA from 1 species
UACGUAGGGGGCAAGCGUUGUCCGGAUUUAUUGGGCAUAAAGAGCGUGUAGGCGGUCUGGUAGGUCCGUUGUGAAAACUCGAGGCUCAACCUCGAGACGCCGAUGGAAACCAUCAGACUAGAGUCCGGAAGAGGAGAGUGGAAUUCCUGGUGUAGCGGUGAAAUGCGCAGAUAUCAGGAAGAACACCCGUGGCUAAGGCGGCUCUCUAGUACGGUACUGACGCUGAGACGCGAAAGCGUGGGGAGCGAACAGG